AAGUCGAGCGAACAGAUAAGGAGCUUGCUCCUUUGACGUUAGCGGCGCGACGGGUGAGUAACACGUGGGUAACCUACCUAUAAGACUGGAAUAACUCCGGGAAACCGGGGCUAAUGCCGGAUAAUAUUUAGAACCGCAUGGUUCUAAAGUGAAAGAUGGUUUUACUAUCACUUAUAGAUGGACCCGCGCCGUAUUAGCUAGUUGGUGGGGUAAUGGCUUACCAAGGCAACGAUACGUAGCCGACCUGAGAGGGUGAUCGGCCACACUGGAACUGAGACACGGUCCAGACUCCUACGGGAGGCAGCAGUAGGGAAUCUUCCGCAAUGGGCGAAAGCCUGACGGAGCAACGCCGCGUGAGUGAUGAAGGUCUUCGGAUCGUAAAACUCUGUUAUUAGGGAAGAACAAAUGUGUAAGUAACUGUGCACGUCUUGACGGUACCUAAUCAGAAAAGCCACGGCUAACUACGUGCCAGCAGCCGCGGUAAUACGUAGGUGG
rnacentral:rRNA from 1 species